UACAGGGGGGGCAAGCGUUGUUCGGAAUUACUGGGCGUAAAGGGUUCGUAGGCGGCCAACUAAGUCAGACGUGAAAUCCCUCGGCUUAACUGGGGAACUGCGUCCGAUACUGGAUGGCUUGGAUUUGGGAGAGGGAUGCGGAAUUCCAGGUGUAGCGGUGAAAUGCGUAGAUAUCUGGAGGAACACCGGUGGCGAAGGCGGCAUCCUGGACCAAUAUUGACGAUCAGGCACGAAAGCGUGGGGAGCAAACAGG
rnacentral:rRNA from 1 species